rnacentral:rRNA from 1 species
UACAGAGGUGGCAAACGUUGUCCGGAUUUAUUGGGUGUAAAGGGCAUGUAGGUGGUUUUGUAAGUCAAAGGUGAAAUGGCCCGGCUCAACCAGGUCAUUGCCUUUGAAACUGCAAGACUCGAGUUCGGAAGAGGAAAGCGGAAUUCCCAGUGUAGCGGUGAAAUGCGUAGAUAUUGGGAGGGACACCGGUGGCGAAGGCGGCUUUCUGGUCCGAAACUGACACUGAGAUGCGAAAGCCAGGGGAGCAAACGGG